rnacentral:rRNA from 1 species
AACGAACGCUGGCGGCAUGCCUAACACAUGCAAGUCGAACGAGACCUUCGGGUCUAGUGGCGCACGGGUGCGUAACGCGUGGGAAUCUACCCUCAGGUUCGGAAUAACUCAGAGAAAUUUGAGCUAAUACCGGAUGAUGACGUAAGUCCAAAGAUUUAUCGCCUGAGGAUGAGCCCGCGUAGGAUUAGGUAGUUGGUGAGGUAAAGGCUCACCAAGCCGACGAUCCUUAGCUGGUCUGAGAGGAUGAUCAGCCACACUGGGACUGAGACACGGCCCAGACUCCUACGGGAGGAAGCAGUGGGGAAUAUUGGACAAUGGGCGAAAGCCUGAUCCAGCAAUGCCGCGUGAGUGAUGAAGGCCUUAGGGUUGUAAAGCUCUUUUACCCGGGAUGAUAAUGACAGUACCGGGAGAAUAAGCUCCGGCUAACUCCGUG